rnacentral:rRNA from 1 species
AAACGGAUGCUAAUACCGCAUAGUUUCAGGRAUCGCAUGAUUCUUGAAGGAAAGGUGGCUUCGGCUACCACUAAUGGAUGGACCCUCGGCGUAUUAGCUAGUUGGUGAGGUAAUGGCUCACCAAGGCAAUGAUACGUAGCCGACCUGAGAGGGUCAUCGGCCACACUGGGACUGAGACACGGCCCAGACUCCUACGGGAGGCAGCAGUAGGGAAUCUUCCGCAAUGGACGAAAGUCUGACGGAGCAACGCCGCGUGAGUGAAGAAGGUUUUCGGAUCGUAAAACUCUGUUGUUAAAGAAGAACAAGGAUGAGAGUAACUGCUCAUCACCUGACGGUAUUUAACCAGAAAGCCACGGCUAACUACGUGCCAGCAGCCGCGGUAAUACGUAGGUGGCAAGCGUUGUCCGGAUUUAUUGGGCGUAAAGCGAGCGCAGGCGGUUCUUUAAGUCUGAUGUGAAAGCCUAUGGCUCAACCGGGGAGGGUCAUUGGAAACUGGAGAACUUGAGUGCAGAAGAGGAGAGUGGAAUUCCACGUGUAGCGGUGAAAUGCGUAGAUAUGUGGAGGAACACCAGUGGCGAAGGCGACUCUCUGGUCUGUAACUGACGCUGAGGCUCGUAAGCGUGGGGAGCAAA